GCAUAAGCCAGCUUGACUGCGAGCGUGACGGCGCGAGCAGGUGCGAAAGCAGGUCAUAGUGAUCCGGUGGUUCUGAAUGGAAGGGCCAUCGCUCAACGGAUAAAAGGUACUCCGGGGAUAACAGGCUGAUACCGCCCAAGAGUUCAUAUCGACGGCGGUGUUUGGCACCUCGAUGUCGGCUCAUCACAUCCUGGGGCUGAAGUAGGUCCCAAGGGUAUGGCUGUUCGCCAUUUAAAGUGGUACGCGAGCUGGGUUUAGAACGUCGUGAGACAGUUCGGUCCCUAUCUGCCGUGGGCGCUGGAGAACUGAGGGGGGCUGCUCCUAGUACGAGAGGACCGGAGUGGACGCAUCACUGGUGUUCGGGUUGUCAUGCCAAUGGCACUGCCCGGUAGCUAAAUGCGGAAGAGAUAAGUGCUGAAAGCAUCUAAGCACGAAACUUGCCCCGA
rnacentral:rRNA from 3 species